UACGUAGGGGGCAAGCGUUGUCCGGAAUUAUUGGGCGUAAAGAGCGUGUAGGCGGCCAGAUAAGUCCGCUGUGAAAUCUCGAGGCUCAACUUCGAGCUGUCGGUGGAAACUAUCUGGCUAGAGUCCGGAAGAGGAGAAUGGAAUUCCUGGUGUAGCGGUGAAAUGCGCAGAUAUCAGGAAGAACACCCGUGGCGAAGGCGGCCAGCUGGGCCGUCCCUGACGCUGAGGCGCGAAGGCGUGGGGAGCGAACAGG
rnacentral:rRNA from 1 species